AUUGAACGCUGGCGGAAUGCUUUACACAUGCAAGUCGAACGGUAGAGGGGGCAACCCCUCGAGAGUGGCGAACGGGUGAGUAAUAUAUCGGAACGUGCCCAGUCGUGGGGGAUAACGUAGCGAAAGUUACGCUAAUACUGCAUACGAUCUAAGGAUGAAAGCGGGGGAUCGCAAGACCACGCGCGAUUGGAGCGGCCGAUAUCAGAUUAGGUAGUUGGUGGGGUAAAGGCUCACCAAGCCAACGAUCUGUAGCUGGUCUGAGAGGACGACCAGCCACACUGGAACUGAGACACGGUCCAGACUCCUACGGGAGGCAGCAGUGGGGAAUUUUGGACAAUGGGCGAAAGCCUGAUCCAGCCAUUCCGCGUGCAGGAUGAAGGCCCUCGGGUUGUAAACUGCUUUUGUACAGAACGAAAAGGUUUCUACUAAUACUAGGAGCUCAUGACGGUACUGUAAGAAUAAGCACCGGCUAACUACGUGCCAGCCGCCGCGGUAA
rnacentral:rRNA from 1 species